AGGGGAGGCUGGCUAAGUUGGAAAAUAGUGUACUGCGGUGGGGGACUGGCGCCUUUCAAGCUUAAAGGUGAUUCUGUAGCUCUUUAAGCUUCUUAUGAUCAUAAUUGGGGGGUUUUCCCUCAGGUGAUUUCACAUAUACGUUAUAAACCCGUUUUCAUCUUAUGCCACAACCUAAUUUUAGCUAAUCAACCGGCUUCUGCAUGGCAGACCACAAACGGUCUCUUUGCCAAAACCGGGCUUAUCCGCGUAAAAACUGCGUCACUGCUCUUUGUGUGAUUCCACGGCUGCAGAUGGAUACCAUUGCUAAGCCUCGGAUAAUGCAUGUGUGUAAUGUGCAGUGAUAGAAGAGAGCAGUCUGAGAUAAAAGUGUGCCUUUUAACGUCACAUGACCUCAUCCGGCAAAGGUCUCAGUUGAUCCCACGGGCUGCUGCUAUAUGGCUAUGAGCGCAAACCUGCCUGCAGGAAAAAUAUGCAUCAGAACAUGCAACUGGAAGCAAUUAGUGUCCAGAACAGCUGGAAUUCCCUGAAAGGUGAAAGCACUUAUAUUUGACUAAUAUGUGAAUCUGAAUUUAGUUUUUUUUUUUUAAACGUAAUCUUUUCAUUUUUCAGCCCGAUUAAUGAAAAAAGAUUAUACGUAUUUCAGUGUUGAGCUUUUCUUGUACUUGCCGCCUUUUUAAAGCAAACAGCGACAAAGCAGUUAAAUGAAAAAGCCACUCCCCGCUGUUAGAUAAUAAUUAUAAGGAUCAUCGUUUGGCCUUUAAAAUAUACAGUCUGGCUUUUUUAUAUUAAAAGAAAAACUUAAAAAAAAAAAAAAAAAAGAAGCUUGUCCAGAUGUUGUCCAUCUGUGAUUUUGAGGCUUCAGGGGGGCAACGCACUAUUGUGUGUAUUUGUAUAACAUUUUUCUGGAAUGGUUCACUGCCUUUAGGCCACCAUACAUCAGCAGCGGCGCUGCAGUGCGCGCAAUGGGCGUGCGCACGCCUCCGGGUGCUGCUGCGCGCCCCCGCCUGUGUGUGUGUUUGUGUGUGUGUUUUCUUUAAUUGCUAUUGAGCAAAUUUU
rnacentral:lncRNA from 1 species